rnacentral:rRNA from 1 species
UACGUAGGGGGCAAGCGUUGUUCGGAUUUAUUGGGCGUAAAGAGCGUGUAGGCGGCCAAACAGGUCCGUUGUGAAAACUGGAGGCUCAACCUCCAGACGUCGACGGAAACCGUGUGGCUAGAGUCCGGAAGAGGAGAGUGGAAUUCCUGGUGUAGCGGUGAAAUGCGCAGAUAUCAGGAAGAACACCAAUGGCGAAGGCAGCUCUCUGGGACGGUACUGACGCUGAGACGCGAAAGCGUGGGGAGCGAACAGG